GACGAACGCUGGCGGCAUGCCUAAUACAUGCAAGUCGAGCGAACAGAUGGAGUGCUUGCACUUCUGACGUUAGCGGCGAACGGGUGAGUAACACGUAAGGAAUCUACCUAUAAGCGGGGGAUAACAUUCGGAAACGGGUGCUAAUACCGCAUAAUAUCUUCUUCCGCAUGGAAGAAGAUUGAAAGACGGCUCUGCUGUCACUUAUAGAUGACCUUGCGGUGCAUUAGUUAGUUGGUGGGGUAACGGCCUACCAAGACGAUGAUGCAUAGCCGACCUGAGAGGGUGAUCGGCAACAUUGGGACUGAGACACGGCCCAAACUCCUAAGGGAGGCAGCAGUAGGGAAUCUUCCGCAAUGGGCGAAAGCCUGACGGAGCAAUGCCGCGUGAGUGAAGAAGGCCUUCGGGUCGUAAAACUCUGUUAUAAGAGAAGAACAAAUUGUAGAGUAACUGCUACAGUCUUGACGGUAUCUUAUCAGAAAGCCACGGCUAACUACGUGCCAGCAGCCGCCGUAA
rnacentral:rRNA from 1 species